rnacentral:rRNA from 1 species
UACGGAGGGUGCAAGCGUUAUCCGGAUUUACUGGGUUUAAAGGGUGCGCAGGCGGAUAUGUAAGUCAGUGGUGAAAUCUCUAGGCUUAACCUGGAAAUUGCCGUUGAUACUAUAUAUCUUGAAUGCUGUGGAGGUAAGCGGAAUAUGUCAUGUAGCGGUGAAAUGCUUAGAUAUGACAUAGAACACCUAUUGCGAAGGCAGCUUACUACGCAGAUAUUGACGCUCAUGCACGAAGACGUGGGGAUCAAACAGG